UAAUGACCUUGCGGUGUAAUGAAAGCAG
rnacentral:sRNA from 1 species